CAGGGCGUAGGGGAGCGGUACCCCAGGGGCUUUGGAAGCCUCGAGUCAUUGGUUCAAAUCCAGUCGCCCUGA
rnacentral:tRNA from 1 species